rnacentral:rRNA from 1 species
GAAUAUUGCGCAAUGGGGGAAACCCUGACGCAGCAAUUCCGCGUGGAGGAUGACGGUUUUUGGACUGUAAACUCCUGUCAGCAGGGAAGCGAAUGGACGGUACCUGCAGAGGAAGCACCGGCUAACUACGUGCCAGCAGCCGCGGUAAUACGUAGGGUGCGAGCGUUGUCCGGAAUCAUUGGGCGUAAAGCGUCCGUAGGCGGUUUGGCAAGUCAUUGGUUAAAGGCACCUGCUCAACGGGUGUAUGGUUAAUGAAACUGUCAGACUUGAGUUUGGUAGAGGUUGCUGGAAUUCCUGGUGUAGCGGUGAAAUGCGUAGAUAUCAGGAGGAACACCUGUGGCGAAAGCGUGCAACUGGGCCUAAACUGACGCUAAUGGACGAAAGCCAGGGUAGCGAAAGGG